rnacentral:lncRNA from 1 species
UUAUCACUUAUAAUACCACAAGAGCUUCAAAAUUAUCGGGUAUUUCCCGAUAGGUUCGUUGCAAACAAAUGAAGGAGUCAAGUUUUUCAGGUUAAAAAAUAACGAGCGCGAAGCGCGAGUGAUUUUUCCUGAAAAACUUGACGAC